AGGAAGAACGUUGUUUUUAGCACCUUCAAGUCACACACAAUAUUAUAUCGUGUGUGACUUAAGGUGCUAAAAACAACGUUCUUCCC
rnacentral:pre_miRNA from 1 species